rnacentral:rRNA from 1 species
UACAUAGGGGGCAAGCGUUGUCCGGAUUCAUUGGGCGUAAAGAGGGUGUAGGGGGCCAGGAAGGUCGGUGGUGAAAACUGGAGGCUCAACCUUCAGAGGUCGACCGAAACCAUCUGGCUAGAGUCCGGGAGAGGAGAGUGGAAUUCCUGGUGUAGCGGUGAAAUGCGCAGAUAUCAGGAAGAACACCGGUGGCGAAGGCGGGUCUCUGGGCAGUAACUGACGCUGAGGAGCGAAAGCGUGGGGAGCGAACAGG